rnacentral:rRNA from 2 species
UGUUUCGGCUAGGGGGCCAUCCCGGCUUACCAACCCGAUGCAAACUGCGAAUACCGGAGAAUGUUAUCACGGGAGACACACGGCGGGUGCUAACGUCCGUCGUGAAGAGGGAAACAACCCAGACCGCCAGCUAAGGUCCCAAAGUCAUGGUUAAGUGGGAAACGAUGUGGGAAGGCCCAGACAGCCAGGAUGUUGGCUUAGAAGCAGCCAUCAUUUAAAGAAAGCGUAAUAGCUCACUGGUCGAGUCGGCCUGCGCGGAAGAUGUAACGGGGCUAAACCAUGCACCGAAGCUGCGGCAGCGAACGUAUCACUUAAAGCGAUUCAGCG